AAAAAUUAAGUUACUAAGGGCGUACAGUGAAUGCCUUGGCACUAGAAGGCGAUGAAGGACGCGACUACCUGCGAUAAGCGAUGGGGAGCUGGAUGUAAGCAACGAACCGUCGAUCUCCGAAUGGGGAAACCCAGUAUGAGUAAUGUCAUAUUAUCCUUAAUAUUAAAAGUUUAAGGAAGCGAUACCUAGGGAAUUGAAACAUCUUAGUACCUAGAGGAAAAGAAAGAGAAUUCGAUUCCGUAAGUAGCGGCGAGCGAAAGCGGAACAGCCCAAACCUGUCUUUGGACGGGGGUUUUGGAGCGCAAUAUGUGAGUGUAAUAGUCCAGAUGAAUGGCAUUGAAAGGCCAACCAAAGACGGUGCAAGUCCUGUAAUUAAACGAUUAUUACCCGCUAGCGAUUUCCAGAGUACGGCGAGGCACGUGGAACCUUGUCGGAAGAUACGCAGACCACUGCGAAAGGCUAAAUACUAACUAGUGACCGAUAGUGAACCAGUACCGUGAGGGAAAGGUGAAAAGAACCCCGGGAGGGGAGUGAAAAGAAUCUGAAACUGUAUGCUUACAAGAAGUCAGAGGCCGUUAAAGGCUGAUGGCGUGCCUUUUGAAGAAUGAACCGGCGAGUUAUGGUUGUCGUGCAAGGUUAAGCUGACGAAGCGGAGCCGUAGUGAAAGCGAGCCUGAAUAGGGCGAAUUAGUACGAUGACAUAGACCCGAAACCCGUGCGAUCUAUUCAUGACCAAGUUGAAAGUGGGGUAAUACCCACCGGAGGACUGAACCGACGUUCGUUGAAACGCCCGCGGAUGAGUUGUGAAUCGUAGAGAAAUUCUAAUCGAGCCGGGUAAUAGCUGGUUCUCCCCGAAAUAGCUUUAGGGCUAGCGUCUAAUAUUGUUAGUGGAGGUAGAGCACUGAAUGCUUGAUGGCCGCGUCCAGCGGUACUGAAUGUAAUCAAACUCCGAAUGCCAUUAAUUUUAGUUAGGCAGUCAGACUGUGGGGGCUAAGCUCCAUGGUCGAAAGGGAAACAGCCCAGACCGUCAAUUAAGGUCCCUAAAUUUAUGCUAAGUGUAGAAGGAUGUGGAGACGCACAAACAGCUAGGAUGUUAGCUUAGAAGCAGCUACCAUUUAAAGAAAGCGUAACAGCUCACUAGUCGAGUAUCUCUGCGCCGAAGAUUUACCGGGGCUAAGCAUAAUACCGAAAUUACGGAUUAAUACUUAAAGUAUUAGUGGUAGGGGAGCGUUCCAUAUUGGUUGAAGCAAUACCGAAAGGAGUUGUGGACGAUAUGGAAGUGAGAAUGCCGGUGUGAGUAACGAAUGUAGGUGAGAAUCCUACACACCGAUUGACCAAGGUUUCCUGGGCAAGGUUCGUCCACCCAGGGUUAGUCGGGACCUAAGGCGAGGCCGAAAGGCGUAGCCGAUGGACGGCAGGUUGAUAUUCCUGCACCCGUAUAUGUGCGAUGUAGUGACAGGGAAGGCUAACUUAUUCCGGUUAUUGGAUUCCGGAUGGUGCGAGGUAGCUGUUUGAUAGGCAAAUCCGUCAAACACUAAGGCGAAGACGCAUCGGGAAUGAAUGGGGCAACCCUAGUAAUGAAGUAAGUGACGCCAUCUCUCAAGAAAAGCUGCUAGCUUAAGCAUAUAUGGCCCGUACCGAGAACGGACACACGUGGUCAAGGAGAGUAUCCUAAGGUGAGCGAGAUAACUGUUGUUAAGGAACUCGGCAAAAUAGCUUCGUAAGUUCGCAAGAAGAAGCGCUCGCGCGAGCGAGCCGCAGUGAAUAGGCCCAAGCAACUGUUUAACAAAAACACAGCUCUAUGCGAAGCCGUAAGGCGAUGUAUAUGGGGUGAUGCCUGCCCAGUGCUGGAAGGUUAAGAGGAGAGGUUAGCCGCAAGGCGAAGCUUUGAAUUGAAGCCCUAGUGAACGGCGGCCGUAACUAUAACGGUCCUAAGGUAGCGAAAUUCCUUGUCAGGUAAGUUCUGACCCGCACGAAUGGUAUAAUGAUUUGGGCGCUGUCUCAACAGCAGACUCGGUGAAAUCUUAAUGCCGGUAAAGAUGCCGGCUACCCGCGACUAGACGGUAAGACCCCAUGAAGCUUUACUGUAACUUAAUAUUGGGUAGUUGUAAUACAUGCAUAGGAUAGGUGGGAGACGGUGAAACCUGGAUUUUGGUCUGGGCGGAGUCAUCCUUGGAAUACCACUCUUGUAUUACGACUACUCUAACCUACGGUCGAUACAGGCCGAGGGACAGUGUUUGGUGGGCAGUUUGACUGGGGCGGUCGCCUCCUAAAAAGUAACGGAGGCGCCCCAAGGUAACCUCAGUAUGGUUGGAAAUCAUACAUCGAGUGCAAAGGCAUAUGGUUGCUUAACUGCGAGACCUACAAGUCGAGCAGAGACGAAAGUCGGGCUUAGUGAUCCGGCGGUUCCGCGUGGAAGGGCCGUCGCUCAACGGAUAAAAGCUACUCUGGGGAUAACAGGCUAAUAGCGUCCAAGAGUUCACAUCGACGACGCUGUUUGGCACCUCGAUGUCGGCUCAUCACAUCCUGGAGGGGUAGUCCCUUCCAAGGGUUGGACUGUUCGUCCAUUAAAGUGGUACGCGAGCUGGGUUCAAAACGUCGUGAGACAGUUUGGUCCCUAUCUGUCGUGGGCGUAGGAAGUUUGAAAGGACCUGUUCCUAGUACGAGAGGACCGGAAUGGACAUAGCAAUGGUCUACCAGUUGUUUCGCCAGAAGCAUCGCUGGGUAGCUACCUAUGGAAUAGAUAAACGCUGAAAGCAUCUAAGCGUGAAGCUAACCUUAAGAUGAGACUUCCCAUUCGCAAGAAGUAAGACUCCUAGUAAGCGACUAGGUUGAUAGGUUGCAGAUGUAAGUGCAGUGAUGUAUUUAGUCGAGCAAUACUAAUAAGUCGAGGACUUAAU
rnacentral:rRNA from 1 species